rnacentral:tRNA from 1 species
GUUUUGGAGGCGCAGAGGUAAGCAUGUCGGCCUAUGACGCUGGAAGCCUGGGUUCGAAUCCUGGCGAGAACA